rnacentral:lncRNA from 1 species
AAGCAAUAAUUUAAAAUAAUUCUCAAAGGAAGAACGCUUGGAGACAAGUCCUCCUACUUGCUAAAGAAAAGCAAUUUUCAUUAGAACUUUUAGAAAACACUCAGCAUAUUAAUUAUAUAAAAUCUCAACUUGAUGAUGUUAGAAAGGAUGUUAAUGAGAUCUUUUGAAAAACUUCAUUUUAAUAACUUGUGAAAGUGUCAAAUUACUAUUUUUGAAGUUUAGAAGUCUAGGUAAACACUAUAUGAUAAAAUAGGUACCCUGUUUGCUAGCUAAAGAAGAGAUAAUUAAAUAGACUCAAUCUUCAAACCCAUGUUAAGCGUGAGAUAAAUACAAAUACAAAAUAAACCAGGUUACAUCAAGAAAUUAAAUAAAACAAUCGUAAAAUAAAGAGAAGAUAAGAAAGACGACAUAGGCGCCCCCAAGCAUUUCGCUUGUUUUCUUGCUAUCGGGUGCACUCUAAGGAAGAUGCCAUGUGAUGACUCCAUGAUCGAGAAUGGGGGAGUCUUGCAUUAAGACUCCAUAUUUUACUCCAAAUACAUAUGCAAAAGAAAUAAACAAGCCAAGAAUUAGGAAGAAGAAAAAAUCUGUUUUUUCUUUAGUGCUAAAGAGCAGAGGUUAAUAAUAAGUAGAAUCACUUCAAGUAAUAUUGAUAUUCAAAUUAUCUAAAUAAGUUAUUAGCACACUCAUAGCUUAUCAUCUCAUAUUACUACCGUCAUUCAUGCUAUCAUGAAACUAAUAUUACCCAUAUAUAAUAGAUAAUACUAAAAUGCAUGGGCAACUAUGUGACUCAAAAAUUAUUUUAAAGUUUCAAGUAUAAACCCUUUUAAUUCUUAAGUUAAGCAACGGCGUCAGUAAUUAUAAAAGGAUCUAUAAUCGUAUACCAACAUUUCACAAUAACAUGCGUUUCCGUUAGCUAAAGUCUAUAUCAUUGUGAGAAAUUCUAAAUUCUAUGGACAUAGCUUCUAAUUAACCAAUUUAUACAGUAAGAUUAAGCUAAUAUCCAUAAAUUCCCAAAUGGUAAUAUAAACACUUAUUUCACAAAAGAAAUACUCUACGGAAGCAAACACUAUCCAGAUCAUAUAGUAUCAAUUAUUAACGUAAAUAUAACUCAUACUUACUAGAAGACAACCAUGAAGAGGGCAACUAAUGCACUAAUAUAUUCAUAUGACCAUCGACACUUUAUUUUACUUAAUUAAGAGAUAAUUAAAAAUAAUAGUCUUGCAUGAUUUCAUACAUGAACGAAUUUACGAUGGAAAAUAAACUGGAGACAAGAUUUUUAAAACAAAUAAACAAAUAUUUCAGAUCUUCGAAUACAGGAAAGCCGAGAAGAAAGAUUUCGAAGUUACUUACCUUUUUGUGGGCAGUGAAUGGGGCAUCGUCAAGAGGAUCUCCGGCUUUGGCUCAACUCUUUCGUAAGAUCAUCAAAUGCGUACACAAAAAAAAAUAAAAGCUUUGACAAUGCUAUGGACUAAAUAGAGGUCAAAAAGCAGAGAAAACUUAAAGCUGGAUUUUAAGAGAGCAAGGAAGAAGAUAAGCUUUGAAUAGUUAGCCACUGAGGGUGAAGGGAGAUAGAAGGGGGGGUGGCCAACCAUUAGUUUUUCUAGUAAAAUGGUGGCUGAAGCUUAAACUUAUAGGGGAUAGAGGAACGGCCAGAGCUUAAAGGUUAAAGGAGGGGGUUCAAGCUUGUGGGUUUAAAGAGAGGUGUAACUGCUCUCAAAAGCUCUGCCCCAAUAUAUUCCAAAUGCAAGUAUUUAUAGGUGAAGAAGUAGGGUUCAUGUUCCUGAUUUUGAAAUUCAAAAUCCCAUGGCAGAAAAGGAUCACGGGUAUUUUGAUUCAAAAGAGUCGUUCGAGGCAGCUGAUUUUCAACGGGCAAAGUGUAGGUGUGGCAGUAGAGAUUUUACAAAAAAUUUCUAAUCUCCUUCUGGCAUUGGAAAAAUAUAGAAGAAAAUGUAUAUAGAAUGGAAAGACUUUUUGAAGAGAGAGAGAGAGAUAUUUUAGGAAAAAAGAGAAAAGUUGGGGGGAAAUCAAACAUUCUGAAAAGAAAAGAUUUUAUGGGGGAAAGGAGAUUAUUCACGUGAAGAGAGGACAAAAUUGGUGAAACUUUUUAGAUUUGGUCAAAGUUUAGUGUUGGAAUUUGAAGAGAAAAUUCAUUAUAAUAGAAUUCUUGAAAUCCAAAAAGAGAGAUAUUUUGGUGGAAGAAUCUUGAAAAGAAUUGAGACAUGAACUAAUAUUUUUUGGGCUGAUUUAUGGAUUUACUUGGGCUGUCUUGUUUGGAGUGAUUUGGGCCGCUAGAAUUAGUAGAAAAGUAUUGGGCUACUAACUAUCUGAAUUUCCUUUCUUCUUUCCAAAUUCUUUGAGCUUCUAAUAAUAUACAAUAAUAAUAUUAAUAUUAAAACAAUCAAGUAACUAACUUAUUUAUUAUACCUAAUUAUAAUUACUAACUUUUACAUAAAAUACUAAUCGUAAGAUGUUGCGAGAUUUAUUAAAUAUAAUUUCGUAAUAGUUAAAAGUUAUUGAGAAAGAAUAUUCUCAAUUAGUAACAACAAAUACGAUUAAGGUAUGAAUGAGAAAGGCGAUAGCAAUAGCAUUAAUAAUAAUAUUAAUAAUAAUAUUAAUAAUAAUAAUAAUAACAACAUUAAUAAUACUAGUAAUAGUGAUAUUAAUAGUGAUAUUAAGUAAAUAAUAAUAAUAAUUAGGUCUAGUAUGUGCUAAAAAUGGUAAAAUAACUUUUCUUACAUUAUUAGUGAUAUUAGAAGCUUAAAGAAAUAGUUUGGAAGAAAGGAGGAACAAAAUUGGAUGUCAACAGCUGCCUCUCUUUGACCGGAGACGAUGAAAGAGUUUUCGGGCAAAGAAAUUGACAUAGUAGCCAAUUUUGUCCUGACCAUCAAGGUUGAAAUGGGACAAAGGGGACGAAAAAAAUGAUUGCGGCCAAACUCCAUUUUCGAGUUGCCUACAUAUCUCGGGUUUCACUAGAAUUAGGUCAUAUGUAGUUCAAGAUUUAUGGUACCCUGGAGUAGGACUCACUUAUUGAUGCAGAUCCUAAAAUGCCGAAUAAUAGAGGCACUGGGUACCAUGAUUGAAAGAAAGGUGUUGGAAAUAAGAAUUUGAUUAUAAAUUUUGAGUGUCGAGCUAAGCGGAGUUCGAAGUAGACCCUUGACCUUUAUUGGAGAGUUUGGUAUUCCUCCCCAACAAACUGCCCCAGUUCACUGCUAAGAUAUAGUUCCACGUUGCGCUAUAUUUCCUGCAAAGCUUAAUGCUAAAAAUAUUCAUUAGGAAAUAAGAUGCAAUAUGGCGUAAAAGUAAUCUUAUGAAAUCAAUAAAUAAUAUUUAGGCGUCAAUUCAUAAGAAAGGAUAAUUUAAAACAUAUAAAAAAUAUAAUUUUAUGGUGGCAUAUUUCAUGGUCGGCGAUGCCAUAAGAAAAUUUAGAUUAUGAAAAUAAAUGCAUUUGGAAAUGAUUUAUGAACGAUAUAUUUUGGUAAUGCUUAUGCAAGCGAGACCACUCGGGUCGAAAUAAAUUGAUGUCCUUUUGAGGAAGGAUUAACUUCAAUAUCCUAUUUGAGGGCGGAUUGACCCGAUAUAUCCUAUUUGAGGGUGGAUGAACCCGAUAUAUCCUAUUUGAGGAUGGAUAGACCCGAUAUAUCCUAUUUGAGGGCGGAUAGACCUGAUAUAUCCUAUUUGAGGGCGGAUAAACCCGAUAUAUCCUAUUUGAGAGUGGAUAUAUCCUAUUCGAGGGCAAAUAGACACGAUAUAUCAUAUUCGAGGGCGAAUGAACCCGAUAUAUCAUAUUCGAGGGCGAAUGAACCCGAUAAAUCCUAUUUGAGGGCGGAUAGACCCGAUAUAUCCUAUUUGGGGGUGGAUAAACCCGACAUGUCCUAUUUGAAGGUGGACAAGCCUGACAUGUAGUGCCUUAUUUGUAAUUACAAAAAAUUGAUAUGAUGCGGUGCGACGAGCUUGAUAUGGUACAUAAAACUUGAUCUGGUGCCAGAGUUAUAGUAACAAUAUUCAGGGAGCGAUGCAAAGAGCUUGGUGCAGUAGUGAAUAUCCUUGGUGCGAAGAGCUUGAUGCAGUGCCUUUACAGAAGAAGAUAUUCAAGGAGCGGUGCCAAUAAUUUGGAAAUCUGCAUGCUAAAGUUUAUUAUUAGUAAAUUCAUGUACUCAGAUAAAACUAUGAGUUUCAAAAUAUAAUUUGCGAUAACUCGACUUGAUCGUCAUGGUGCACUAUAUUUCCUGCAAGGCAAAUUCGUCAGUAGAGAAAAUAUUGAAAUGCAAUGUGCUGUAAAGUAAUCUUAUGAAAAUGACAUCUUUGGGGCGUUUACUUAUACAAUGCAGCCUAGUCGGCCAAAACGAUUUGAUAAAAAUGUAGCUUUUUGCCAAUGAUGAUUUUCAACAAUAACAUGCAGUUUAUAAAUGUGCUUUGCAAUGAUUUAUGAUAACAGUGCAUUUCAGUAAUGACAUGACCAUCUAGGUCGAAAUAAAUUAAUGAAAAGCAUGUGAAUGUGUGCUAAUGUGUCAUGUUGAAGGCGGACAAGCCUAAAUAUCAUAUUAAAGGCAAACUUGCUUAAAAAUCUAAUUAAAUAUGGAUAAGCGUAAAUAUUUAAUGCAUAGAUGCCAUGUUAAAAGCCGAACAAGCCUAAAUAUAAUAUUAAAGGAAAAUGUGCUUAAAUGUCCCAUUAAAGGCGGAUGAGCCUGAAUGUCAUAAAGGCAAGCGUGCUUGAAUAUUCAAUUAAAGGCGGAUAAACCUAAAUUUUAAUGCAUAAAUGUCCUAUUGAAGGCGGACAAGCCUAAAUAUCAUUUUAAAGGAAAGCAUGCUUAAAAAUUCAAUUAAAGGCGGAUAAGCCUAAAUAUUUAAUGCAUAAAUGUCCUGUUAAAGGCGGACAAACCUAAAUACCAUAUUAAUAGGCAAACGUGCAUAAAAAUCCAAUUAAAGGCGGAUAAGCCUAAAUAUUUAAUGCAUAAAUGUCAUGUUAAAGGCGGACAAACCUAAAUACCAUAUUAAUAGGCAAACGUGCUUAAAAAUCCAAUUAAAGGUGGAUAAGCCUAAAUAUCAUAAAGGCAAGCGUGCUUAAAAAUCUAAUUAAAGGCGGAUAAGCCUAAAUAUCCUAUUUAAGGCGGAGGAGCUUAAAUAUUCAAUUAAAGAUAAAUGUGCAUAAUAUCCAAUUAAAGGCGAAUAAGCCUAAAUAUAAUGCAUAAAUGUCCUAUUAAACGCGAACUAGCCUAAAUAUUAUAUUAAAGGCAAACGUGCUUAAAAAUCUAAUUAAAGGCGGAUAAGCCUAAAUUUUAAUUAAAGCAAAAUGUGUCUAAACAUCCUAUUAAAGGCAGACGAGCCUAAGUGUCCUAUUAAAGGCGGACAAGCCUAACUGUGAUGCUUGAUUUAAUAUUACAAGAUUGUUGCAGUGCGAAGGGCCUAGUGUGAUGCCUGAUUCAUAGAAAAUUAGUGAAAUGCAAAAAAGCUUGGUGUAAUUCCUGAUUCAAAGCAAUGAAUACUCAUGAAUCAAGUGAAGAACUUGGUGCAUUGUCUUCGAGUUUUCAAGGUGUGAUGAGGAGAGUAUGGUGCAAUGUCUUUAAAAUAGCAAAUUGUAUGGUGUAAAGAGCUAGAUGCAAUGCAAUAGCAAAUGUUCAUGGUAAAAUGCCGACGCUUGUCAGAUCUUCAAGCUGAAAAUAUCUAUUAUUAAAUUCCUGCAUUCAAAGAAAAAUUGUAAGUUCCAAAAUUUGAUUCAUGCUGGCUUGGCUUCAUCCUUUUCUGAGUAUUGCGAUUUUGGCUUGAUGCUAAGCUUUGGAUCAUCACGCAGAUGGUCUUGAUCGAGAAUGGCUAGAGCUUGCCCCUUUUUUACUCAAAGGAAAUUCAUUAGUAUAAAAUAAAGUGGUUGCCUUGCAUUGAACGUCAAAGUUUUGGCUUUGAAUCUACAACUUGCUGCUAUGGCAUUCUGGAAAUUUGUUGUUGCGCUUGUAACAAAUAUGUAGCUCAAAAUUUCACUUUAUGCUUUGCCAAAUGGUGAGUAUCCUUUUAGCAAAAUCUGCCCCGGUUUUGGCUUUUGGGGUAAAUAGAAUUUUAUUAUGAUGAGACCGAACUCAUAGGGUUGCCUACGUAUCCCCUCUUAAACGGGAAUUAGGUCAAAACGUAGUUCAUACAAAAGUUUAACAAAAAGUACAUGAAACAGAGUAAAUCAUGAAAGGGCGGACAAAUAGUAGUGAUGAAAAACUCUAAUCAAUCAACUUGUUUAGCUUCACGCUUUCUCUUCAAAGGUCUUGGUGCCAACUUUGAAAGAUCACCUUUAACCACGAUGGUAUUAGUGACUGAAGGUUCAUAGUUGUUGCAUGGUUGCUCUUGCUGCACAAUUAUCUUGUUGUUUUCAAUCAUGUUCUGAAUCUUAUGCUUAAGUGCUGGGCACUCUUCUGUGUCAUGGCCUUGAAUAUAUGAAUGGUACGCACAAGUUUUAGACCAAUCAAAAUCUGGAGGAAGAUCUUGCGGGAUCCAUCCUUUCCUUGGUUGUAAAAGUCCUUUCGCUUUCAAUCUCUCAAAUAUGCUUGUCAAUGAUUCUUUCAGAGGAAUAAAAGUGUUGAAUUUCAGGUUAUCUGAAUGACGAUAGCUAGAUUGUGCUUGAUAAGCUUGAUGUUAAAUGCUUUGGUGAGUAGGUUGGAGUUGUCUAUGAGUUUGUAGCAGUUGGUUGUUUUGUUGAGAUUGUGGCUGAUGAGCGGGAAUGCAAGCAUAAUCUAUCUUCCUCUUUUUGCCUUGUAAACUCUCGAGUGUCUCAUCUUGGAAAGUGGCUUGUAAUUUUGAAUUGUCAAUAAUUUUUCCUACUCGAAUGCUUGCUUCUAUCAGUUUUCCAACUCUAAUCAAAUCCGAGAAGUCAUGUAGCUGAGCGCAUAGCAACUUUUCAUAGUAUAUGCCUUUUUGCAUUUCGAUGAAGGUGGAAAUCAACUCAUUCUCGGGUAAUUGAGGGCGUAUUUUUGAAGCCUCCAGUCUCUAAAGCAUGGCAUAUUCUGCAAAAGACUCGUAUUGCAUUCUUUCUACUUCACGCAUAUCACAAAGCGUUGGACUAUCUCCAAUAUUAAACUUAUAUUGUUCUACAAAUUUGCGAGUCAUGUCCUCCCACGUGUACCAUUUGCUAAAAUCUUGUUGAGUGUACCAAUCAAGCGCUAGCCCUGAUAGACUCUGAAUGAACAACUUCAUUAUGUCCAAUCCCCACUAAUCUGCUGCAGUAGUCUUUUAAAUGAGAAAUGGGAUUUCCUUUCCUAUUGAAAGUAUUGAAUUUUGGAAUUUUGAAUCCUGGCGGAAGCUCAACAUUUGGAUGCAUGCACAAACUUUCAUAUCUUAAACUCUGAAUAUUUCUUGCACGCAUUUCUUCCUCCACGGUCUUUCUUAGGUUAUGGAGCUCUCUAUCUAGAUCAUCCCAGCUAGUCGUCUUAAUUUCCUUUCCUGGUUUUUUGUAUGGGCAUAGCGCUAGUUGAUUUUGUUGGCUUUCUAUUACUGAUGUUGCAAGUGCAGAUGAUUGGGCAUUGGUCAUCAUGAUGACUGGCAAUGCCUCUGGAUUGAUAGUAAGUUUUGGCGGUAUCAGUGGAGGACUUAUGUAAAUAAUUGCUAGAUGAGGAGAUAUGGUCAAAGAGACAUUUCGGGUUGAGCUGGAAGCAGAAUUUGGGUUGGGGAGAAGGUUGAAAGUAUUUCCCAGAUUGACCAAAAUGUUCCUCCGUAUAACAUUUGUCUCCUCAUCAUCAGUCUCAACUUGCAACAAACUUUUGCCGGUACUGAGUGCUCCAAAUCGAUUUGCCAUUAUAGUUGCGUUCUUUAAUGCAGAUUAGCAGCCAAAACAGUGUUCAAUGCUAGGCAACCUUUAAAGAAAAAUAAAACUUUUACAAACAAAAUAAGGUGUUAGCAUAUUCAUCAUAAUGAAAUAAAUGCAUAAAAAUAAUAGAAUGAUUAUAUAUAUUAAUCCAUGUUAUGGUUAAAUAGGAGCCUUAAACUAGAAACAAUGGCCUAUGUUGCAAAAUGGAUGGACGAGACUGAAUUGUUAUCUAGAGGGCUCUAACGCUCGAGACUUUUGAUAUGGAAGUGGAAUGAUUUAAAAUUUUGUGAAAGGUUGACUUAUGUUCGAACAUCAAAGCUUUAGCUCUAGCAUAGUCAACUUCUUUGCAUGCCUUUGGAAUUUUCCAAAUAAUUGCCCCAAUCUUUAGGAAGGUUCUGAUGAAUACUUCAUGGCAUGAUGUCCCUUUUGAGAAAACUCAACCUGCGUGCCAAGAAUCUGCCCCAGUUUUUUUCAUGAAGGGAAAUGAAAAUUUUGCUGUAAUUAGACCGAGUCUUAUAUAGACUGUGUUUCAAAGAGGUCAGAGACAAAUAAUUUUGACGUUGAAAAUAAUUUUUGGCUAUUUGAAUAUCGACAAGCUCAAAAUCAAGAUACUUGAUUAGGAUAUAAGAGUCUAUUGGACAUGAAAUGUCUCUAUUAUUUUAUUGUUUAGUGUUGGCAAAUCAUAAAGUUGUCGAGGCCGGGAAUACAGUAUUAACCGUUUUGAGACUUUAUGGGAUAGUACCUCGACUCACAUGCCAAGACUUAGAAUUAACGGGUGCGUGAAGAUUAGUCUCGAUGACCCGAAAUAAGAUGAUACAAACACUUGAAUUGAAUAGGUAAAAAUUUUAGAAUAAUUUGACGAUGCAAACUGACCAAAAUAGUGGCCUUCUAUUGCUCGGUAGAUUGCACAAGUUUGGACAUCUACCAAUUUGUAAAUGAGAAUUGGUACGAAGGUUGAAAUAGGUAGAAUAGUAAGUAGAUUUUAUGAAACAUAGAUCUACGAUAAGAAUCGAAGGUAUGAAUAUUCUGUGAGGCACAAGUGGCAAUAUUUGAAAAAUGUGUAACUAUUUUAAAGAAAAAAAUGCGAAUAAAAUUAACUCACGGAUUAGAUGGGAAAAAUAUUUUCUAAUUAUGAAAUAUUACGCCUUUUUUUAAAGAAGUAGGGAUGAUAUCUUGCUAUAGGGAGUAAGAUGCUCAUUGUAAAGAAAAUUCUUAAGGCUAGUUUAAGGCACGAAUAUCGAGGAAUUUCAUGACAAACUGAGCUUGUUGAAGAGAAUUUGCGUGCAAAACGUCCUAAAUUAUAAAUAAUAGAAGAUUUCCCAAAGACUAAAACGAUAUCUUAAUUAGACUCUAGGAAAUGAAAUGGGCCUAAGAAAAAUUUGAGCUUAAGUAAAUACCUAAAUGGUGCUCAAGAGCUGUUAAAAAGCUAAGCGAGGCGAUUUCAGGAAGAUGAUAUUAAAACAAGCAGAAGAAUAUAUAUAUAUAUAUAUAUAUAUGAACAAAUAAAAUAUAUAUUUAAAUAAAGAUACAAGUUGGAUAGUUAAUACUUCCUUUUUCUGAAAAACAACAAAUAAUAUUAGUAAAAAUAAUAAAGUCGAGCAAGCAACACAGAGAGUAAGCAAGUAAGCAAAUAGGCAAGCAAAUCAUGCGACACAUUCCAAAGCAAAUAAUAGCGCAUUCUAAUACGUGGGGAGGCCUCUUUGUGCCAGAGGUAGGCCUAACGUAUAUUUGAAAGAUAAAUAUGUCAUUAUGUAUCAUCCCAUUGAUGUAAAUUAAUUGAAUAAGUCUAUUUUUCAAAAGAAAAUAAAGUAUAAUAGUAUGAUUGCUUAAACCCUUCUUUUGUAAUAAAAGAUCAAAAGAAAGUAUAUAUUUUCAUCAUGUCAAAACUUCUCGCUGAUUAUGUCAUUUGAAAAUUUUACUACAUAUCAUAGAAAUAAUGACCAUGCUCAUUUACCUAAGAUUUAAUUAAUUAAGAGAAAAUGGUCCACAUAAUUGACAUGUUAACUCUUCAAAUAAUGCACAUACACGUGAUAAAGUGUCACUUGGGGUUGAAAACCCACUUGGACAUUUAGGUAAGGUUAACUAAUGGAUUUAAUACACCUCGGGUAUUAAAUCACCUAAAGUUAAAAUGAUGCAUGCUCUUAAAAGGGUUUCGGUUUAGCUCUAUCUUAGGCUGACUAAGACUGGGUUUUGCUAGACUGGUCAUCUCCCAAGCGGACAACUUGAGAGUGGAAAGCCUGUGACUAUCGAUUGCACCGCUGAUCGACUUACCCACAAACUUUCUCCUAAAAGGUGUUUUAAGUAGUGCACGGCCGCAAACCACGUAACCACUAGAUGUGUGCUUUGUGUGAAUUUUCCAGUAGUGGAGAAAGUGAAACGGAAUGACAAUUUAUAUAAAGCAAUAAGAACAGAUAAACAAUUCAUAAAAUACAGUUUAUCAUAUAAAGGCAAUUCAAAUAAGCAUCAUAACAAUAAAAAACACACAAAUUAAUUUUUAUUAUUAACCUAAGUUUGUUAUGGUUUAGAACCUAGAAUCCCCAGCAGAGUCGCCAUGCUGUUAUACCCCAUUUUAAUACGGGUCAAAUUAGAGUAUAACAUAUUGGUAAUUCUGAGGUUUAAUUAAUUAAAGAGAGUCGCCACCUAAUUAUUUUAACGGUGAAUUAGGACACCAAUUUUAGCUAAAUAGUGCUUAAAGUUAACUCUAUUCUAUGGUCUACUUAACCUUCAAGACUACGGGUAAGGGUUCUAAUUGAUCUUAUAGAGAAGGUAUUAAGCACUCUAUAUGACCCAUUAAAUAUGGUUAACCGGCCAAACUUAGGUUAAUUGAUAAAAAAUAUUACGCUAAAGUAUCAAUAUAUAGCUAACUAUAUAACUCGAUAGAAAACAAUAGAGUAUUCGAUUUCAGCAUUGGCUAACUUCUGUGGAACUUAACAACUUAUAUCUUAAGGAAAAUGUUUAAGUCCCUUAAGAAAGCUGACGAUUUGAGAAAAAUAUUUUAUAUAUCAGUUUUAACAUGAUGAAAGCAAUAAUUUAAAAUAAUUCUCAAAGGAAGAACGCUUGGAGACAAGUCUUUCUACUUGCUAAAGAAAAGCAAUUUUCAUUCGAACUUUUAGAAAACACUCAGCAUAUUAAUUAUAUAAAAUCUCAACUUGAUGAUGUUAGAAAGGAUGUUAACGAGAUCUUUUGAAAAACUUCAUUUUAAUGACUUGUGAAAGUGUCACAUUACUAUUUUUGAAGUUUAGAAGUCUAGGUAAACACUAUAUGAUAAAAUAGGUACCUUGUUUGCUAGCUAAAGAAGAGAUAAUUAAAUAGACUCAAUCUUCAAACCUAUGUUAAGCGUGAGAUAAACACAAAUAUCAAAUAAACCAGGAGACAUCAAGAAAUUAAAUAAAACAAUCGUAAAAUAAAGAGAAGAUAAGAAAGACGCCAUAGGCGCCCCCAAGCAUUUUGCUUGUUUUCUUGCUAUCGGGUGCACUCUAAGGAAGAUGCCAUGUAAUGACUCCAGGCUCGAGAAUGGGAGAGUCUUGCAUUAAAACUCCAUAUUUUGCUCCAAAUAUAUACGCAAAAGAAAUAAACAAGCCAAGAAUUAGGAAGAGGAAAAAAUCUUUUUUUUCUUUAGUGCUAAAGAGCAGAGGUUAAUAACAAGUAGAAUCACUUCAAGUAAUAUUGAUAUUCAAAUUAUCUAAAUAAGUUAUUAGCACACUCAUAGCUUAUCAUCUCAUAUUACUACCGUCAUUCAUGCUAUCAUAAAACUAAUAUUACCCAUAUAUAAUAGAUAAUACUAAAAUGCAUGGGCAACUAUGUGACUCAAAAAUUAUUUUAAAGUUUCAAGUAUAAACCCUUUUAAUUCUUAAGUUAAGCAACGACGUCAAUAAUUAUAAAAGGAUCUAUAAUCGUAUACCAACAUUUCACAAUAACAUGCGUUUCCGUCAGCUAAAGUCUAUAUCAUUGUGAGAAAUUCUAAAUUCUAAGGACAUAGCUUCUAAUUAACCAAUUUAUACAGUAAGAUUAAGCUAAUACCCAUAAAUUCCCAAAUGGUAAUAUAAACACUUAUUUCACAAAAGAAAUACUCUACGGAAGCAAACACUAUCCAGAUCAUAUAGGAUGAAUUAUUAACAUAAAUAUAACUCAUACUUAAUAGAAGAUAACCAUGAAGAGGGCAACUAAUUCACUAAUAUAUUCAUAUGACCAUCGACACUUUAUUUUACUUAAUUAAGAGAUACUUAAAAAAAUAGUCUUACAUGAUUUCAUACAUGAACAAAUUUACAAUGGAAAAUAAACUGGAGACAAAAAUUUUUUAAAAAAAACAAACAAACAUUUCAGAUCUUCGAAUACAGGAAAGCCGAGAAGAAAGAUUUCGAAGUUACUGACCUUUUUGUGGGCAGUGAAUGGGGCGUCAUCAAGAGGAUCUCCGGCUUUGGCUCAGCUCUUUCGGAAGAUCGUCAAAUGCGUACACAAAAAAAAUAAAAGCUUUGACAAUGCUAUGGACUAAAUAGAGGUCAAAAAGCAGAGAAAACUUAAAGCUGGAUUUUACGAGAGCAAGGAAGAAGAUAAGCUUUGAAUAGUUAGCCACUGAGGGUGAAGGGAGAUAGAAGGGGGGCGGCCAACCAUUAGUUUUUGGAGUAAAAUGGUUGUUGAAUCUUAAACUUAGAGGGGAUAGAGGAACGGCCCAGAGCUUAAAGGUUAAAGGAGAGGGUUCAAGCUUGUGGGUUUAAAGAGAGGUGUAACGGCUCUCAAAAGCUCUGUCCCAAUAUAUUCCAAAUGCAAGUAUUUAUAGGUGAAGAAGUAGGGUUCAUGUUCCUGAUUUUGAAAUUCAAAAUCCCAUGGCAGAGAAGGAUCACGGGUAUUUUGAUUCAAAAGAGCCGUUUGAGGCAGCUGAUUUUCAACGGGCAAAGUGUAGGUGUGGCAGCAGAGAUUUUACCAAAAUUUUCUAAUCUCCUUUUGGCAUUGAGAAAAUAUAGAAGAAAAUGUAUAUAGAAUGGAAAGACUUUUUGAAGAGAGACAGAGAGAGAGAGAUUUUAG